GACAGGUAUAGCCAGCCAAUGGCUCUAAUCCUGCCCCGGCUGGCAGACCAGUAACCAGUUAGUCUCUACAGACUGCACUGCAGUUCACACUCCACAAUACAUGUCGGACACCCUGACAAACAACCAAUCAUGGACAACGAAUAUUCUAUUUACUACAAUUUACUGCUGAGUCUGUUGAAAAUUAUCUUAAACAUUUAGAGCUGUUCGGAGAGAGGAAUCUACUCAAACGUAUGAAGAGACCCAAACACUUUGGAGAUCCACUAACAAAACGGAGUUGCUCGUGGAGUUGAGAAGAUCCUUCUCAGGACAUCAAAACUAUUCUGGGAGGAGUUUGAGCUGAGGAGGACAAUGCUGAAGGGCGCCAGGGCCAGGAAGAUCACAAGAUUCCUCUCCUAAUCUUUCUAGUUAGAACCGGGCAAUCUGUAUUCAGAAUAUAGAAUGAAGUUCAGCCUACUUGGUUUACGAAUUUACAGUACAGAAUACCAGAGUGCACAAGGUACCAGAGUGCACAAGGUACCAGAGUGCACAAGGUACCAGAGUGCACAAAGUACCAGAGUGCACAUAGUACCAGAGUGCACAAAGUACCAGAGUGCACAAAGUACCAGAGUGCACAAAGUACUAGAGUGCA